rfam:Triticum aestivum genome assembly, contig: Triticum_aestivum_CS42_TGACv1_scaffold_343680_4DL
UCUACCUAUGAUGAGUUGCAAACCUUAUUCCCUACAUUGUUUGACCAAUCUUGUGAGAAUUUAUUUAACAUCUGAGGAUGGA